GGAGGGUAGCAUGUAGUGUGGUAGGGCCUGUGGCUCCUGCUCUGGCUGGAAUUACUAGCACAGGGAGUCACUCACUCCCAGGCCUCAGAGCUACAUGGCAGGUCCCCAAGUGCGGCUGGUGAUCCACUACAAUCCAGCGUAAAGCCACCCAGAGAGCCCAGGUGUCCCCUACUUUAACCAGACCUGGUGCCUUGACGCCCCCACCCCAGCGGGGACGGUACAGAGAAGGGUCUUGGUCUCCUCCUCCCUUCCUCGGGCUCCUGAAUUCAUUUGCUCCUAAACCUUGCUCAUUCUUUUUCUCCAGGUUUUUCUUUUGGGUUUUCCUAGCUAUCCGACUUCUUUCUUUGUGUCCUUGUUUGCCGUCUCAGUGUUCCUCUCUCAUUCUCAAUUUCUUAGUCCAUUUGGGCCUCCUCCCUGCCCCCACACCCUACUCCCUCCCCUCCUUGGUCUCCUUUUCGAUAUGCCAAACCAAUUUUGGGUCGAGUGCAUUUAACGAGAAUAAAACAAAAGGCUCAUAAGAACGUUUCAGAAAAAAACAAAAAGUUUUAAAAAAAUGUUGAGUCAAAAAGUCAAACAAUAAAGAAAUUAAGAUUUCUUGAAAUGAGAAA
rnacentral:lncRNA from 1 species